AUUGAACGCUGGCGGCAUGCCUUACACAUGCAAGUCGAACGGUAACGCGGGGUAACCUGGCGACGAGUGGCGAACGGGUGAGUAAUGCAUCGGAACGUGCCCAGUAGUGGGGGAUAACUACUCGAAAGAGUGGCUAAUACCGCAUGAGAUCUACGGAUGAAAGCAGGGGAUCGCAAGACCUUGUGCUACUAGAGCGGCCGAUGGCAGAUUAGGUAGUUGGUGGGAUAAAAGCUUACCAAGCCGACGAUCUGUAGCUGGUCUGAGAGGACGAUCAGCCACACUGGGACUGAGACACGGCCCAGACUCCUACGGGAGGCAGCAGUGGGGAAUUUUGGACAAUGGGCGCAAGCCUGAUCCAGCAAUGCCGCGUGCAGGAUGAAGGCCUUCGGGUUGUAAACUGCUUUUGUACGGAACGAAAAGCCCUGGGUUAAUACCCUGGGGUCAUGACGGUACCGUAAGAAUAAGCACCGGCUAACUACGUGCCAGCCGCCGCUGUAACAC
rnacentral:rRNA from 1 species